rnacentral:lncRNA from 1 species
UUGGGAGGGACGCCAUGGGCAUCCCUACUCUGCUUCUUCUCUUCCCCUAACUCCAUCAAGGUGAUGGAUUGGUACAACGACCUACUCCCCUGCUUCCUAUGUUAAUUUGGUGUUCGAUGUGGAUGUGAUGUAUUUUAGGCAUGAUUAAAUAUGUAUUUAGGUUCAACUCUGACUGAAACAACUUGUUGCUUCAGUUUCUUGUAUGAAGAACAAAUAUGAUGAACACCUUUUCUUUUCCUUUUUGUUCAAGAUUCAUUUCUAAUUCUAAACCAAACUGAAAUUGCAAAUAGUCUAGAAUGAAUGAAGCAGAGAGUCCUUCCUUCUUUGGCAGCUGGCACAAUUCCUUCUCAAGGUGCUGGUGUUUGUCGACGUGAUUGACCUCUAUUUUUUUACUAUGUGUAUCAAGAUGCAGCUGCUGAGCAUUGAUACGUGUUGUUCGGUGUACCUCGACAUGAUUUCCAGGACAUGAAAUGUGAGCUAUCUAAGCUGCUCCUUUGUUCCUGGACAUGAUUUAUCCUUCGAUUUGAUCAACAUUAUCUUUUUAUGUCUCUUGUCCAUCAUGUGCAGCGGCAACACGAUUUGCAGAGUACAAGGGUGGGCUCAUCGAGGUGUGCGGUGGUAGGCUCGCUCGGCCCCAGCGUCUUGUGUUGAACGGACAUGCCGCCUCUUCGGCGUCGGCUAAAUGAGAGCCAUGGUGAGCUCUCUUCUCCCCGCCUCCGUUUGCUUGCUCUAAGCUCGUGCUUGUGAGAAACUACAUGUCACCUCGCUUGAACUCCCUAGCUACACCACACCUUGUUGAAUACACUAGUCAUGCUCCUGCAUACAUGUUUUGUUGGACAAAAAACUGUACAAUGAUCUGCUCCUUGGGAUAUUAAUUCUUAUGAUAUAUCUUAAUUUAUUGUAAAAGUUAAACCCACUACACGUGUUAAGCAGAAAAUGUUUUAGUUUGUCAUACAUAGUUGCCUAUGCUUGUUGGUAGCUAUUAAGUGUAUAAUUCAUCAUGGAAGCAUAGGAAUGUGAUGGACAUCAUCAGAUUACAUUUAUGUUCUGAACAUAAAAUAUUUAAACUCGGUGUUUAGAUUCUGUAUCUGUAAUCAUAAGUUUCACUUGUAGUCUGGUCUUUCUUAGACAUAUUAUUGUUUGAGUUAAGUUCACCAAACAAUACUUCAAAUUUUAGGAAUCAAUGAUGCCGACCUCAUUGCUGGGCACUGUGCUUUUGGUGUAUGAUAUGGCUGGGAGAAAACACACAGUUUCCUGCUGGUUUAUUACAUAUCAGCCAGUACUGUA